UGAAACUUAGUAGACUUCUUCGGAAUGACACUAAGCGAAUUAGUGGCGAACGGGUGAGUAACGCGUGAGUAACCUGCCUUACACAAGGGGAUAGCCUUUGGAAACGAAGAAUAAUACCCUAUAAAACCAUAAAAGCACAUGCUAGAAUGGUCAAAGUGAUAGCGGUGUAAGAUGGACUUGCGUCUGAUUAGCUAGUUGGUGAGAUAAAAGCUCACCAAGGCAACGAUCAGUAGCCGGCUUGAGAGAGUGUACGGCCACAUUGGGACUGAGACACGGCCCAGACUCCUACGGGAGGCAGCAGUGGGGAAUUUUGCACAAUGGGGGAAACCCUGAUGCAGCGACGCCGCGUGAUUUAGAAGGCCUUCGGGUUGUAAAAAUCUUUUGUAUAGGAAGAAAAUGACAGUACUAUACGAAUAAGGUCCGGCUAAUUACGUGCCAGCAGCCGCGGUAAUACGUAAGGACCGAGCGUUGUCCGGAAUCAUUGGGCGUAAAGGGUACGUAGGCGGCUAGAAAAGUUAGAAGUCAAAGGCUAUAGCUCAACUAUAGUAAGCUUCUAAAACUAUUUAGCUUGAGAAAUGGAAGGGAAAGUGGAAUUCCUAGUGUAGCGGUGGAAUGCGCAGAUAUUAGGAAGAAUACCGGUGGCGAAGGCGACUUUCUGGCCAUUAUCUGACGCUGAGGUACGAAAGCGUGGGUAGCAAAC
rnacentral:rRNA from 1 species